GAUGAACGCUGGCGGCAUGCUUUACACAUGCAAGUCGAACGGCAGCACGGGUGCUUGCACCUGGUGGCGAGUGGCGAACGGGUGAGUAAUGCAUCGGAACGUGCCCAUGAGUGGGGGAUAGCCCGGCGAAAGCCGGAUUAAUACCGCAUACGCCCUUAGGGGAAAGCGGGGGAGUCUUCGGACCUCGCGCUAUUGGAGCGGCCGAUGUCGGAUUAGCUAGUAGGUGAGGUAAAGGCUCACCUAGGCGACGAUCCGUAGCUGGUCUGAGAGGAUGAUCAGCCACACUGGGACUGAGACACGGUCCAGACUCCUACGGGAGGCAGCAGUGGGGAAUUUUGGACAAUGGGCGCAAGCCUGAUCCAGCCAUGCCGCGUGAGUGAAGAAGGCCU
rnacentral:rRNA from 1 species